rnacentral:rRNA from 1 species
AUUGAACGCUGGCGGCAUGCCUUACACAUGCAAGUCGAACGGCAGCGCGGGAGCAAUCCUGGCGGCGAGUGGCGAACGGGUGAGUAAUAUAUCGGAACGUGCCCAGUAGUGGGGGAUAGCCCGGCGAAAGCCGGAUUAAUACCGCAUGAGACCUGAGGGUGAAAGCGGGGGAGUCGCAAGACCUCGCGCUAUUGGAGCGGCCGAUAUCAGAUUAGCUAGUUGGUGGGGUAAAGGCCUACCAAGGCAACGAUCUGUAGUUGGUCUGAGAGGACGACCAGCCACACUGGGACUGAGACACGGCCCAGACUCCUACGGGAGGCAGCAGUGGGGAAUUUUGGACAAUGGGCGCAAGCCUGAUCCAGCAAUGCCGCGUGCAGGAAGAAGG